rnacentral:tRNA from 1 species
CCUCAGUGGUAGAGUGUCCGCUUCGCAUGCGGAAAGUCACGGGUUCGAACCCCGU